AACGCUUCGUAAGUUGGAUCAACAUGGUUGGGUCUUAGUGAACAAAACGUGUUAGUAACGCUAAAUCCUUCAAGUGUAGAUGUGAACCGGUGUGUUAUCACCCGUUGCCAAUUUAUAAUGUUGUGGAGUACUGCCACGUUUUUUGUUAGCUAGGCCCAAACUGAUUGCGUAUGGGGAUGGCAAUUGACCCUUAAGUGAAGUCGAUUGUUGUGUCCCAUGGAGUGUGCCUUGAAUAAAUCAGAGUGCUCAAAGCAGGCUUGAUGCCUGAAUGUUAACAGCAUGGAACGAACAAUUGUGGAAACAUGAUAUUAUCUCCACUGGCAAUGUGCUUAUUUGUAUGUUGUCAUGUGGGGGCAGUAUCAUAGCACCAACCACCAAUAUCGGAUGUUGGUUCCGUAUUGGGGUGAUGAUUAAGAGGAGCGGUUGGGGGCAUUGGUAUUUUGCCGCGAGAGGUGAAAUUCUUGGACCGGCAAAGGACUAACAAAUGCGAAGGCAUUUGCCUAGACCGUAUCCAUUAAUCAAGAACGAUAGUGGGAGGUUCGAAGACGAUCAGAUACCCGCCUAGUUUCCACCGUAAACUAUGCCGACCCGGGAUCAGUUUGGUGCUAUUACCAACGCUUCGAAGUGAUUCCCCCUGGGAAACCUGUAGUUUUUCGGUUACGGGGGGAGUAUGGUUGCAAGGCUGAAACUUAAAGGAAUUGACGGAAGGGCACCACCAGGGGUGGAGCCUUCG
rnacentral:rRNA from 1 species